rnacentral:rRNA from 1 species
UACGGGGGGAGCAAGCGUUGUUCGGAUUUACUGGGCGUAAGGGGCGCAGUAGGCGGUCGUGACAAGUCACUUGUGAAAUCUCCGGGCUUAACUCGGAACGGUCAAGUGAUACUGUCGGACUAGAGUACAGAAGGGGCAACUGGAAUUCUCGGUGUAGCGGUGAAAUGCGUAGAUAUCGAGAGGAACACCUGCGGCGAAGGCGGGUUGCUGGGCUGAUACUGACGCUGAGGCGCGAAAGCCAGGGGAGCGAACGGG